rnacentral:rRNA from 1 species
UACGUAGGGUGCAAGCGUUAAUCGGAAUUACUGGGCGUAAAGCGUGCGCAGGCGGUUUUGUAAGUCUGAUGUGAAAUCCCCGGGCUCAACCUGGGAAUUGCAUUGGAGACUGCAAGGCUAGAAUCUGGCAGAGGGGGGUAGAAUUCCACGUGUGAGCAGUGAAAUGCGUAGAGAUGUGGAGAACACCGAUGGCGAAGGACAGCCCCCUGGGUCAAGAUUGACGCUCAUGCACGAAAGCGUGGGGAGCAACAGG